GCCAGGCACAGUGGUGCAUGCCUGUAGCCCCAGCUAUUCGGGAGACUGAGGCUGGAGGAUCUCUUGAGUCCAGGAGUUCUGGGUUGUAACUAUGCCGAUCGGGUAUCUGCACUAAGUUUGGCAUCAAUAUGGUGACCUCCCAGGAGUGGAGGACCACCAGGUUACCUAAGGAGGAAACGGAGCAAGUCAAAACUCCCGUGCUGAUCAGUAGUGGGAUCGUGUCUGUGAAUAGCCACUGCAUUCCAGCCUGGGCAACAUAGUAAGACCCUGUCUCU
rnacentral:SRP_RNA from 1 species